rnacentral:tRNA from 1 species
GUUUAUAAAGUUUUUAUUAAAACAUUUCAUUUUCAUUGAAAAGAAAGAUUACUAUUAUCUUAUAAAUA